rnacentral:rRNA from 1 species
UAGGGAAUCUUCCACAAUGGACGCAAGUCUGAUGGAGCAACGCCGCGUGAGUGAAGAAGGCUUUCGGGUCGUAAAACUCUGUUGUUGGAGAAGAAUGGUCGGCAGAGUAACUGUUGUCGGCGUGACGGUAUCCAACCAGAAAGCCACGGCUAACUACGUGCCAGCAGCCGCGGUAAUACGUAGGUGGCAAGCGUUAUCCGGAUUUAUUGGGCGUAAAGCGAGCGCAGGCGGUUUUUUAAGUCUGAUGUGAAAGCCCUCGGCUUAACCGAGGAAGCGCAUCGGAAACUGGGAAACUUGAGUGCAGAAGAGGACAGUGGAACUCCAUGUGUAGCGGUGAAAUGCGUAGAUAUAUGGAAGAACACCAGUGGCGAAGGCGGCUGUCUGGUCUGUAACUGACGCUGAGGCUCGAAAGCAUGGGUAGCGAACAGGAUUAGAUACCCUGGUAGUCCAUGCCGUAAACGAUGAAUGCUAGGUGUUGGAGGGUUUCCGCCCCUUCAGUGCCGCAGCUAAC